rnacentral:rRNA from 1 species
UACGAAGGGGGCUAGCGCUGUUCGGAAUUACUGGGCGUAAAGGGCGCGUAGGCGGCGUGUCAAGUCAGGCGUGAAAGCCCCGGGCUCAACCUGGGAACCGCGCUUGAGACUGGCAUGCUCGAGUUCGGGAGAGGAUGGUGGAAUUCCCAGUGUAGAGGUGAAAUUCGUAGAUAUUGGGAAGAACACCGAUGGCGAAGGCAGCCAUCUGGACCGACACUGACGCUGAGGCGCGAAAGCGUGGGGAGCAAACAGG